GAAGGCCCGGGGCAGAGAGGCCCGCCCACAGUGGGCAGCAGUUUGCAUUUGAACUUGCAGUUCAGGAGCGGAGGAUCCUGCCCUAGCUCGGGUUUAAGAGGAGAUGGCAGUGACUGCCAGGGACCGCGGGCAAAGUCUCCUGCCACAGGACCGGCCCAUGCCAGGGGUGCCCUGGGGAGCCUCCCACUCCCAGCCGACAAGAAACCACCGCAUGCCUCGGUGCCCGGAGCCCGGAGCCGGUCUAGGAAACUCAGCUCCUAGGAGAGUCGCCGUCAGAGCCAGGAGGAUGUUUCCCAAAUGGGAAGAGGACCGAGAGAUGCAGUGAAGGAGGAGGGUGUGCAAGAGAAGACC